rnacentral:lncRNA from 1 species
UUUAGCCUAUCGAUACACUUCUACAUUAGUGAAAAGUAGUUACCUCGACGUGAUAUACUGCGCACUACCACACACCUAGGAGAGACAGCACCGCACCGCCCACCCAUAACCACAUUCCACACCGAAUGACGCGUCACUUUGUGUAAGGCCUAUGCAUAGCGCGGACUAAGAUAUACUAUAAUAUUCGUAUAUCUAGUCCGUGCUACAUAAUAAGAUUUCCAACAUUUUAAAAUCAACGUUAACGAACAACAAAACAAUACGUCUUAUAAAAAAUUGUAGCUCAGGGAAUUAUUUGAGUUGUGGACAAUAUCCAAAUUCCGGCAAUCGAGGUUUUGUUAAUCCUUAACGACGGAUUAAUUGUCCGUACAACAGUACCAUAGAAGUGCGGGAUAAUAAAGGUAUUCAACAUGACGGAAAGUGAGUAACAAAGACUGUUCACAAUAUCUGUAACGAAAUUGGAUGGACCCGCUCUUAUAGAACAGGAGCAAGUUUUUUCGAAGAAGCUUUUAAAUAUAGACCUAAGCAUAUAAUCAAUAAAAGUUUUGGACUGCACACUAUAUAUAUUGCUGAAAACGGUGCUUUCAUUGUUAAUAAGUCAAUCAAAGAAAAUUUGUGCUUAAUGAUUACAGCUAUUGAAAUGGCUGGAUACAAUGGAAAAGUUGUAAUAAGAAUCAAUAUUGCAGCAUCUGAUUUCUAUGUUAAUGAAAAAUACGAAGUCAUGCAAUAAUGUCAAAGUCAAAUCACUUCAACUGAAAAUGUAAUAAACUUUUGUCAAGAACUCAUUGAAAAAUGUCCAAUAGUUCUGAUAGAAGAUCUAUUUCACCAGGACCAUUAGAUACAUGCUUACAGAAGUUACUAGCAUUCAGACCAAGGAUAUUUGACUUAAACAUAAUGGUGCAAAAGCAAACAUGAUCCUCCCAAAGAGACUGGACAAAGUACACCUUAAGCGCCGCAUCAAGAAUACUACAGAAAUUGAAUUGGUAUCUUGUAUUUAAUUUAUUAAUACCCUAAAAUUAUAUUUUAAAAUCUACAAUGUCAAAGA